rfam:Hordeum vulgare subsp. vulgare, WGS project CAJW01000000 data, contig: morex_contig_277171
AAUAUACUUCCUCCAACCCAAAAUUUUUAUCUUAGAUUUGUCUAGAUAUGAAUGUGUCUAGUCAAGUUCUAGUAUUUAGAUACGUUUAUUUCUAGAUAAACAUAAGACAAAAAAUUUAGGACGGAGGGAGUAUGUU